AGUAGCAAUACUGCCGGCGACCGGCGCAAGGGUGCGUAACGCGUGAGCAACAUGCCCGUAUCAGGGGGAUAAUCCAUGGAAACGUGGUCUAAUACCCCAUAGUAAUUAUGUAAGGCAUCUUAUAUAAUUUAAAGCUUUGGUGGAUACGGAUUGGCUCGCGUGACAUUAGCUGGAUGGUAAGGUAACGGCUUACCAUGGCUACGAUGUCUAGGGGUUCUGAGAGGAAGGUCCCCCACACUGGAACUGAGACACGGUCCAGACUCCUACGGGAGGCAGCAGUGAGGAAUAUUGGACAAUGGAUGGAAAUCUGAUCCAGCCAUGCCGCGUGCAGGAAGACGGCCCUAUGGGUUGUAAACUGCUUUUGUAUGGGAGCAAUAAGGGCUACGUGUAGUCCGAUGAGAGUACCAUACGAAUAAGCACCGGCUAACUCCGUGCCAGCCGCCGC
rnacentral:rRNA from 1 species